rnacentral:rRNA from 1 species
UACGUAGGGGGCAAGCGUUGUCCGGAUUUAUUGGGCGUAAAGAGCGUGUAGGCGGCCAGAUAGGUCAGCUGUGAAAACUCGAGGCUCAACCUCGAGAUGUCGGCUGAAACCAUCUGGCUAGAGUCCGGAAGAGGAGAAUGGAAUUCCCGGUGUAGCGGUGAAAUGCGCAGAUAUUGGGAAGAACACCGGUGGCGAAGGCGGCGCUCUGGACCGAGACUGACGCUGAGGCGCGAAAGCGUGGGGAGCAAACAGG